rnacentral:rRNA from 1 species
UACGUAGGGGGCAAGCGUUGUCCGAAAUCAUUGGGCGUAAAGAGCGUGUAGGCGGCCAGGUAGGUCCGCUGUGAAAACUCGAGGCUCAACCUCGAGAUGUCGGCGGAAACCAUCUGGCUAGAGUCCGGAAGAGGAGAGUGGAAUUCCUGGUGUAGCGGUGAAAUGCGCAGAUAUCAGGAGGAACACCGGUGGCGAAGGCGGAUCUCUGGGCCGAUACUGACGCUGAGGAGCGAAAGCGUGGGGGAGCGAACAGG